UACGGAGGGGGCUAGCGUUGCUCGGAAUUACUGGGCGUAAAGGGCGCGUAGGCGGCUUUGUAAGUCAGGCGUGAAAGCCCCGGGCUCAACCCGGGAAUUGCGCUUGGGACUGCAGGGCUCGAGGUCGGGAGAGGGUAGUGGAAUUCCCAGUGUAGAGGUGAAAUUCGUAGAUAUUGGGAAGAACACCAGUGGCGAAGGCGGCUACCUGGACCGAAUCUGACGCUAAGGCGCGAAAGCGUGGGGAGCAAACAGG
rnacentral:rRNA from 1 species